GCCCGCCUAGCUCAAUCGGAUAGAGCGUCAGACUCUUACGAGACUGUUAUGUAUAAGUGGGUAAUCUGAAGGCUGCGAGUUCGACCCUCGCGGUGGGCU